rnacentral:RNase_P_RNA from 1 species
UCAGUCGGCCGGACGGCCGCCGCGGCUAUGCCUGAAAGGGUGCCGGGGAGGAAAGUCCGGGCUCCAUGGACGAACGGUGCCGGAUAACGUCCGGCGGGGAUGGCGCCGCGCAAGCAACGCCAUCCUCAGGGAAAGUGCCACAGAAAACAGACCGCCUUCAGCCGCGUUGUGUAUUGGCUUGAGGUAAGGGUGAAACGGUGGGGUAAGAGCCCACCGCGCUUCGUCAGCAAUGACAGCGGCACGGCAAACCCCACCGGGAGCAAAACCGAAUAGGAAUGACGUAGGGGCGCAAGCUCUAGGUCCGUCCGGGCCAGUCAUUCGGGUAGGUUGCUAGAGACGCCGGGUAACCGGCGGAUUAGAGGAAUGGCCGUCACGUCUGCUUACGGAAGCGGGCCAUACAAAACCCGGCUUAUAGGCCGGCUGAUAUU